rnacentral:rRNA from 1 species
CGUAGGUGAACCUGCGGAAGGAUCAUUCA